GGGGAUGUGGUCCAGUGGUUAAGACACUUGACUCCUAUUCAUGAGAUGAUAGUUCGAAUCUAUCCAUCCUCG